rnacentral:rRNA from 1 species
ACGAACGCUGGCGGCAGGCCUAAAACAUGCAAGUCGAACGCUCUAGCAAUAGAGAGUGGCGCACGGGUGAGUAACAUGUGGGAAUAUGCCUUUUGGUACGGAACAACUUUUGGAAACGAAAGCUAAUACCGUAUGGUCCCUUCGGGGUAAAGAUUUAUCGCCAAAAGAGUAGCCCGCACUGGAUUAGCUAGUUGGUAAGGUAAUGGCUUACCAAGGCGACGAUCCAUAGCUGGUCUGAGAGGACGAUCAGCCACACUGGGACUGAGACACGGCCCAGACUCCUACGGGAGGCAGCAGUUAGGAAUCUUGGACAAUGGGCGCAAGCCUGAUCCAGCCAUGCCGCGUGAGUGAUGAAGGCCUUCGGGUUGUAAAGCUCUUUAGCCGACGAAUAUAAUGACUGUAGUCGGAGAAUAAGCCCCGGCUAACUUCGU